UACGAAGGGGGCUAGCGUUGCUCGGAAUCACUGGGCGUAAAGGGUGCGUAGGCGGGUCUUUAAGUCAGGGGUGAAAUCCUGGAGCUCAACUCCAGAACUGCCUUUGAUACUGAAGAUCUUGAGUCCGGGAGAGGUGAGUGGAACUGCGAGUGUAGAGGUGAAAUUCGUAGAUAUUCGCAAGAACACCAGUGGCGAAGGCGGCUCACUGGCCCGGUACUGAUGCUGAGGCACGAAAGCGUGGGGAGCAAACAGG
rnacentral:rRNA from 1 species